rnacentral:rRNA from 1 species
CCUACGGGCGGCUGCAGUGGGGAAUUUUGGACAAUGGGCGCAAGCCUGAUCCAGCCAUUCCGCGUGAGUGAAGAAGGCCUUCGGGUUGUAAAGCUCUUUCGCAAGGGAAGAAAACUUACCUUCUAAUAAAGGGUGAGGCUGACGGUACCUUGAUAAGAAGCACCGGCUAACUACGUGCCAGCAGCCGCGGUAAUACGUAGGGUGCGAGCGUUAAUCGGAAUUACUGGAGGUAGAUUGUGAACUCACGGGUGAAAUCCCCGAGCUCAACUUGGGAACUGCGUUUGAAACUGCCAGACUAGAAUAUGUCAGAGGGGGGUAGAAUUCCACGUGUAGCAGUGAAAUGCGUAGAGAUGUGGAGGAAUACCAAUGGCGAAGGCAGCCCCCUGGGAUAAUAUUGACGCUCAUGCACGAAAGCGUGGGGAGCAAACAGGAUUAGAUACCCGUGUAGUC